rnacentral:rRNA from 1 species
AACGUAGGAGGCGAGCGUUAUCCGGAUUUACUGGGCGUAAAGCGCGUGUAGGCGGAUCAGAAAGUUGGAUGUGAAAGCUCCCGGCUUAACUGGGAGAGGUCGUUCAAGACUUCUGGUCUAGAGUGCAGUAGAGGAAAGUGGAAUUCCGGGUGUAGUGGUGAAAUGCGUAGAUAUCCGGAGGAACACCAGUGGCGAAAGCGACUUUCUGGACUGUAACUGACGCUCAGACGCGAAAGCUAGGGUAGCAAACGGG